rnacentral:rRNA from 1 species
AUUGAACGCUGGCGGCAUGCCUUACACAUGCAAGUCGAACGGUAACAGGUCUUCGGAUGCUGACGAGUGGCGAACGGGUGAGUAAUACAUCGGAACGUGCCCGAGAGUGGGGGAUAACGAGGCGAAAGCUUUGCUAAUACCGCAUACGAUCUCGGGAUGAAAGCAGGGGACCGCAAGGCCUUGCGCUCACGGAGCGGCCGAUGGCAGAUUAGGUAGUUGGUGGGAUAAAAGCUUACCAAGCCGACGAUCUGUAGCUGGUCUGAGAGGACGACCAGCCACACUGGGACUGAGACACGGCCCAGACUCCGACGGGAGGCAGCAGUGGGGAAUUUUGGACAAUGGGCGCAAGCCUGAUCCAACCAUGCCGCGUGCAGGAUGAAGGCCUUCGGGUUGUAAACUGCUUUUGUACGGAACGAAAAGACUCUGGUUAAUACCUGGGGUCCAUGAUGGUACCGUAAGAAUAAGCACCGGCUAACUACGUGCCAGCCGCCGCCGUAACAC